GUCGAGGGGUAGAAGUCUUCGGACUUUGAGACCGGCGCACGGGUGCGUAACGCGUAUGCAAUCUGCCUUUCACAGAGGGACAGCCCAGAGAAAUUUGGAUUAAUACCUCAUAGUAUUAUGGAAUGGCAUCAUUCUAUAAUUAAAGUCACAACGGUGAAAGAUGAGCAUGCGUCCCAUUAGCUAGUUGGCAGGGUAACGGCCUACCAAGGCGACGAUGGGUAGGGGUCCUGAGAGGGAGAUCCCCCACACUGGUACUGARACACGGACCAGACUCCUACGGGAGGCAGCAGUGAGGAAUAUUGGUCAAUGGGCGCAAGCCUGAACCAGCCAUGCCGCGUGCAGGAUGACGGUCCUAUGGAUUGUAAACUGCUUUUGCACAGGAAGAAACAACAUUACGAGUAAUGUCUUGACGGUACUGUGAGAAUAAGGAUCGGCUAACUCCGUGCCAGCAGCCGCGGUAAUACGGAGGAUCCAAGCGUUAUCCGGAAUCAUUGGGUUUAAAGGGUCCGUAGGCGGUCUUGUAAGUCAGUGGUGAAAGCCCAUCGCUCAACGGUGGAACGGCCAUUGAUACUGCAGGACUUGAAUUACUGGGAAGCAACUAGAAUAUGUAGUGUAGCGGUGAAAUGCUUAGAGAUUACAUGGAAUACCAAUUGCGAAGGCAGGUUGCUACCGGUGGAUUGACGCUGAUGGACGAAAGCGUGGGUAGCGAACAGGAUUAGAUACCCUGGUAGUCCACGCCGUAAACGAUGGAUACUAGCUGUUGGAAGCAAUUUCAGUGGCUAAGCGAAAGUGAUAAGUAUCCCACCUGGGGAGUACGUUCGCAAGAAUGAAACUCAAAGGAAUUGACGGGGGCCCGCACAAGCGGUGGAGCAUGUGGUUUAAUUCGAUGAUACGCGAGGAACCUUACCAAGGCUUAAAUGUAGUUUGACCGGUUUGGAAACAGAUCUUUCGCAAGACAAACUACAAGGUGCUGCAUGGUUGUCGUCAGCUCGUGCCGUGAGGUGUCAGGUUAAGUCCUAUAACGAGCGCAACCCCUGUUGUUAGUUGCCAGCGAGUCAUGUCGGGAACUCUAGCAAGACUGCCAGUG
rnacentral:rRNA from 1 species